GAAAGAGCUCAAGAUUUUGCUACUACCUUGCUAAUAAAUUUGUGAGGUUGCUUUAUGGAAGUAUUUACAGGCUUGCCAUGACAAGGAAUGCAUCAAUAAUCUUGGUAUAAAAUUUAUUUGGAUGGUUCAGAACCUUCAGAUGGCAUGGCUGAGAUAUAGUUUGUUGUAUUCAGUUUUUUUUUCAUCGUCACAGGUUUGCAAAAUUUGGUUCUACUGCCAGUGCAUACUUUAUGUUUCCAUUUCCAUCAAUUCAUCUUGUAGAAUCUCUGU